rnacentral:miRNA from 1 species
UAGGCAAGCUUGGCCCUCCAGAUGUUUUGGGACUACAACUCCCAUCACCCCUAGCUAACAGGACCAAUGGUCAGGGAUGAUGGGAGUUGUAGUCCCAAAACAUCUGGAGGACUGAGUUUUCCUA